UUCAUAUUAGGUGAUUGAUCAUUUGAUAGACAGGGCAUGUGCCAAGUGCGGUCACGAUGGACUUCAUUUCCACACCAGGCAAGCACGAUCAGCUGAUAAAGAACAAAUCGUCUUCUAUUUCUGCCAUCAUGCAAGCAUCAAGAGAUUGAGUACUCCUGAAGAGAAUCAACA